AGAGAGAGAGAGAGGGGGUGAGAAUCCCAAGCAGACUCUGCACUGUCAGUGCAGAGCCCGACAUGGGACUUGGCUCAAACUCAUGAACUCUGAGAUCAUGACCUGAGCUGAAACCAAGAGUCAGAUGUUCAACUGACUGAGUCACCCAGUCGCCCCUAAAAAUCUUGUUAUAAAGACUGUGUGUGUGCACAUGCAUGGGCAUGUGGUAAUAAAGGCUAAUUUUCACCAAACACUUACCAUGCCAGGAACAAUGCUAAGCACUUUAGCUCAUUUAAUCUUUAAAACAACGGUCCCCAUUUUAUAGACGUGGAAAAAAAAAACAAAAAACAACGCUGACUUUAAGUGGCUUGCUUAAGGUCAUACAGAUAGCUGGUGAUGGAGCCAGGACUUGAACCCAGGUUUGCCUAUGCCUGGGAGCUGAGUUUGUGUCCUCUCUGCCAUACUACCUCACAGUCAAGUGCAGCAAGCAAAAACAAAACCAAAAAAGCCCCAAAGGCAUAGUGCUGACACUGUCUGAGGCUUUGUGACGUUGGAGGUGGUCAGGAUGAGAAAGGUCAGGGUGGGCCAGAUUAGCCAGGGAAGGCUUCUUGGCAAAAGAAACUCAGAAACCCUGUUCUCACAGACGGGUUUGGAUUUGGGAUGGUAUAAGAAAUGAGCAGCGAGGACAUCAACCUGGGCCAGUGGAAGGAGGGAGCCUGGUGGAGUGGGUGGCAAGGGUGCCAAGCUUAGAAACAGAGCUCCACACAAGCCUGGAAAGAAUGUUCGUGGUAGUGGCAGGCAGUGACAGCACAGGUCUGUGUGCCUUGGGAUCUCCUGGUCAGCUCUAGCAGCCCAUGAGCAGAUCACCCCGAGAGGCUUCUCCACCCACUGGAUGGAGCAGAGCCCAGGCAGAGACCUGGAUAAGGCAGGUUUAGGGCUGGAUGCCUUUGAGAGAAGCUCAUUUGACAUUAUGCCUCUCAGGCAGCGUUUGCCCCACACCUUGGUUUUACAUAAAACCCACAUAGCCUUCCAGAUCACCCACUGCCACGGGCCACGCACCGUCUUCUACCCCAACGGCGGGUAAGCAAAGUCAUGGCCACAGAAGGCGGCUGAAAUAAAAUGUGUAAUUGUGCUCCAA